rnacentral:rRNA from 1 species
ACCGGCGCACGGGUGAGUAACACGUAUGGAACCUGCCCGUAGCAGGGGGAUAAGCGGAAGAAAUUCCGUCUAAUACCGCGUAAUAACUCCGAGAGGCAUCUCAUGGAGUUUAAAGGGUAACACCGGCUACGGAUGGCCAUGCGGCGCAUUAGCUAGUUGGCGGGGUAACGGCCCACCAAGGCGACGAUGCGUAGGGGUUCUGAGAGGAAGGUCCCCCACACUGGUACUGAGACACGGACCAGACUCCUACGGGAGGCAGCAGUGAGGAAUAUUGGUCAAUGGGCGAGAGCCUGAACCAGCCAAGUCGCGUGAAGGAUGACGGCCCUACGGGUUGUAAACUUCUUUUGUCAGGGAGCAAUUGGGUCCACGUGUGGGCUUAGCGAGAGUACCUGAAGAAAAAGCAUCGGCUAACUCCGUGCCAGCAGCCGCGGUAAUACGGAGGAUGCGAGCGUUAUCCGGAUUUAUUGGGUUUAAAGGGUGCGUAGGCGGAAUAUCAAGUCAGCGGUAAAAAUUCGGGGCUCAACCCCGUCGUGCCGUUGAAACUGACACCCUUGAGUGAGUGAGAAGUAAGCGGAAUGCGUGGUGUAGCGGUGAAAUGCAUAGAUAUCACGCANAACGCCGAUUGCGAAGGCAGCUUACCGGCGCUCAACUGACGCUGAGGCACGAAAGUGCGGGUAUCGAACAGGAUUANAUACCCUGGUA